UUCCGGUUGAUCCUGCCGGACCCUACUGCUAUCGGGAUGGGACUAAGACAUGCGAGUCGUCUAAGCUAUGUGGAGCAUACGGCUCAGUAACACGUGGCUAACCUACCCUCAGGACGGGGACAAACCCGGGAAACUGGGGCUAAUAUCCGAUAGGUGAGAAUGCCUGGAAUGGUUUAUCACUCAAAGGGUUGGACGCCUGGGGAUGGGGCCGCGACCGAUCAGGUUGUUGGUGAGGUAAUGGCUCACCAAGCCUAUAACCGGUACGGGCCGUGAGAGCGGUAGCCCGGAGAUGGGUACUGAGACAAGGACCCAGGCCCUACGGGGCGCAGCAGUCGCGAAAACUCCGCAAUGCACGAAAGUGUGACGGGGCUACCCCGAGUGCCAUCCGCUGAGGAUGGCUUUUCCUUGGUUUAACUAGCCAGGGGAAUAAGGAGAGGGCAAGAUCUGGUGUCAGCCGCCGCGGUAAUACCAGCUCUCCGAGUGGUAGGGAUGAUUAUUGGGCCUAAAGCGUCCGUAGCCGGCUUAGCAAGUCUCCUGUUAAAUUCAGCGACCUAAUCGUUGAGCCGCGGGAGAUACUACUAGGCUAGGAGGCGGGACAGGUCGACGGUACUUCUGGGGUAGGGGUGAAAUCCUAUAAUCCCGGAAGGACCACCAGUGGCGAAGGCUGUCGACUAGAACGCGCUCGACGGUGAGGGACGAAAGCUGGGGUAGCGAACCGGAUUAGAUACCCGGGUAGUCCCAGCCGUAAACGAUGCGGGCUAGGUGUUGGGGUGGCUACGUGCCACUUCAGUGCCGCAGGGAAGCCAUUAAGCCCGCCGCCUGGGGAGUACGGCCGCAAGGCUGAAACUUAAAGGAAUUGGCGGGGGAGCACCACAAGGCGUGAAGCUUGCGGUUCAAUUGGAUUCAACGCCGGA
rnacentral:rRNA from 1 species